GACGAACGCUGGCGGCGUGCUUAACACAUGCAAGUCGAACGAUGAAGCCUUAGCUUGCUUUGGUGGAUUAGUGGCGAACGGGUGAGUAACACGUGAGCAACGUGCCCAGGACUCUGGAAUAACCGCGGGAAACCGUGGCUAAUACCGGAUAGGUGCCGAGGCCGCAUGGUCUUCGGUUGGAAAGUUUUUGCGGUUCUGGAUCGGCUCACGGCCUAUCAGCUUGUUGGUGGGGUAAUGGCCUACUAAGGCGACGACGGGUAGCCGGCCUGAGAGGGUGACCGGCCACACUGGGACUGAGACACGGCCCAGACUCCUACGGGAGGCAGCAGUGGGGAAUAUUGCACAAUGGGCGCAAGCCUGAUGCAGCAACGCCGCGUGGGGGAUGACGGCCUUCGGGUUGUAAACCUCUUUUAGUAGGGAAGAAGCGCAAGUGACGGUACCUGCAGAAAAAGCACCGGCUAACUACGUG
rnacentral:rRNA from 1 species